UACGUAGGGUGCGAGCGUUAAUCGGAAUUACUGGGCGUAAAGCGUGCGCAGGCGGUUUUGUAAGCCAGUCGUGAAAUCCCCGGGCUUAACCUGGGAAUGGCGAUUGGGACUGCAAGGCUGGAGUAUGGCAGAGGGGACUGGAAUUCCUGGUGUAGCAGUGAAAUGCGUAGAUAUCAGGAGGAAUACCGAUGGCGAAGGCAGGUCCCUGGGCUGAUACUGACGCUCAUGCACGAAAGCGUGGGGAGCAAACAGG
rnacentral:rRNA from 1 species